GACGAACGCUGGCGGCGUGCUUAACACAUGCAAGUCGAACGGAAAGGCCCCUUCGGGGGUACUCGAGUGGCGAACAGGUGAGUAACACGUGAGUAACCUGCCCUUGACUUCGGGAUAACUUCAGGAAACUGGGGCUAAUACCGGAUAGGAAUCCUUGCUGCAUGGUGGGGGUUGGAAAGCUUCGGCGGUUUUGGAUGGACUCGCGGCUUAUCAGCUUGUUGGUGGGGUAGUGGCUUACCAAGGCUUUGACGGGUAGCCGGCCUGAGAGGGCGACCGGCCACAUUGGGACUGAGAUACGGCCCAGACUCCUACGGGAGGCAGCAGUGGGGAAUAUUGCACAAUGGGCGGAAGCCUGAUGCAGCAACGCCGCGUGCGGGAUGACGGACUUCGGGUUGUAAACCGCUUUCAGCAGGGGCGAAGCUUGUGGUGACGGUACCUGCAGAAGAAGCACCGGCUAACUACGUG
rnacentral:rRNA from 1 species